rfam:Gossypium raimondii chromosome 13, whole genome shotgun sequence.
GGGCCUGUAGCUCAGAGGAUUAGAGCGUACGAACCACGAUGUCGGGGGUUCGAAUCCCUCCUCGCCCA